AGUCGCCUGGAGGCCCAUUUGUACAGUGAAAAAGUGGAAAAUGAGACUCUAAAAAUCUCAUCAGCCAAAUACAAAACAUUCUCCUUGCCGCUACGUGGCGGCCUCCACAGAGCCCUAAGACCUUGAAGCCCGGAGACGUGUCUUGAAGGGGGAGCAAAGGCGGGAUGCGGGAAGUUUGAGUCCGUGGAAGACACUGAUGCCCUCUCCAUUCCUGGGAACCCUGUGCCUGAAGGACCCGGCCAGAACAGCAGAAGGACUGAAUCCCCGGGGCAAGUCAUCGGUGAUGGAACAUAAAGCCAUGGUGCCCUCGGUCCCCAAGACGGGAGGGAUGGGGAAGGCCCUGGGUGAAGGGGACAGGCAAGGAAGGAAAAGGUGAAGAGAAAGGUGCUCCCCAGGGAGGGGGUAGAUGUGCCCAGGACAUGGGACAUUGGCAGAAUUUUAACUCCGAGCACACACACAGGCCCACGGACAGCUUCCCGUCUACCUUUUCCUUGUAGGUGUGCUGUGCCGGCCUGGGCACCUGCCCCUUUCCCCAUGCCAGGUCACUUGCCGUCUACCCUGUAUACUGCCACUAGUUCUAAACCUCCCAUAACACCCUAAUCAGGGCCCUGUGGCCUCUGUUACAGGAUUCCAGGCCUAGAUGUCUGCUCAAUUGGAAAACUGCCCCCAGAGAUGCCGUGGCUCAGAGCUCAUCCUGCUUUGCGGGUGGCCCCUGGAGUCUCCGCCCCUCAGCAACCCACAUGGUGACAGGCACCCACAUCCGCUGGCCUCAGGAACCCUGUGGCCACCAUCCCAGCGCUGUGAGGAGCUGGCAGUUUCCUCCCCACCCUUUCGGCCUACCUUGCAGGAACUAAGACACCAGGUGAGCCGCCCCGGGAAAGAGACCUGUGCUCCCGCGGCACUGCUCCUGCACCCAUUCCCAGCCACUCCAGAUGCUUCCCGUGGACCAGCUGCACUGCCGGCGGGCAUGCCUGGCCCUCCGCAGCCGGGCCCAUCUGAUCUUCACAGGCAGGCCCCUCCUUAUGCCCCAGCCCCCUCUCCAGCCAGCUCAUUCCGGCCUCCCCCACUGCUGCUGGCUGCCGCUGGCCAGAAGGCUCUCCUUCCUCUUGCAAUCCAAUUCCUACUCUCCCUCAAGGUCCGCCUCCUCCAUACUGACUUCUCCCCUGCUAGCUAGUGGUGACCUUUCUCUACCCUGAUUCGGAAGCUGACUGUCCACAUCACCCCUGGCUGGGCAGAAUCACUCUCUCCUCCACCUCCUCCAAUCAUCCCUUCCCCACGUCUGUCUGUCUACCCAAGGUUGUCCAUCUCCCAUAUACACACCCCCACACCCCCCAACUAUACUCCAGGCUCCUUGGGCACCAGGGAGGGCCACCCUUCCAUACCCCAGGUCAGCCCCCAUGCACACGCACACUCAUGCACACACACACUCUCUCACACCUAUCCACUCGGGCCGCCUGAUGGUUCUAAGACCAGAAUUCCCAGCAAAACCAUUCAGGGCACACAAGGGGGAGACUGAUAAACACAGGGAACCAGCAGAUUGAGGCCCCACUCCCCGAGACUGAGAAACCUUCCCCCAGAGCCAAAGGAUUGCCAACUGUUGCACCAGGAUGGUCUCAAUGAGCCCAUUGUUUUGGACUAAAUUACAGGGUCACGAAACUGGCUUCGGAGGCAGCCACAGAAGCAGCUCCAGAUGGAGGCACAUGGGGGCAAGGGUGGAGUUACACCCAGAGACCCAAGGCAGGAGCACUAACAACUUUCAUAGUGCAAAUGGUGACAGCUGUACAACCAACACAACCCCAAACCCUGGCCUCCCCUCCCGCCACAGGGAUCCCGUUGAGACACCAGAGUUCUUCCUCAGAAAUCCCACCAGGGACCCAACACUUUCGGUUAGGAACUGAGAGCAGAGACCUCGAUUCCGCAGGCAGGAGGAGAGCUCCGCACAACACAGGGCCUCUCUCCAUAAGGGCUUACUGGAAAGCGGUCAGACCGGCUAAGUCGUGCCACUUGGACAUUUGGGACAAGGAAGGCCCCUGGAGGAGUGGUCGCAGGGAAGAGUUGCAAAGAGGCAGGGGCAGGGAGGCCACAUUCACUCGGGGACUGCAGGAGGCUCAACGGAACACAGUGGACCUAGGGAGACCCCAGUAUGAGCACGUGCCCAAAGAUGUCCAGAUGAGGAGGUGUUGUGGGGGAGGGGGGGGCGGGAACAGCAAGCCCUCCCAGCUCUGCAGACCCAGACCUCCCCUCCCUCUGGGAAGCAGGGAUGCAAAGGGAUAGAGCCUGAAAAAGUGCUUUUACCACUAAGCUGACAAAGUAACUAUGAUGUUUCCAGCUCACACUCUGCACAGCGCCAGUGGCCACUGGAUCACAACCCCCUCCCGUCCCUUCGCCGCCCCACACCCUCCUCAGGCCCAGCCCUGAAGAACAGCCACUGGCACUCUGCUUGGCGUCCAGCCAAAGUUCUGGUCCCCUAGGAGGCCCCGCCUCCCCCACCCAGAUAGGGCUGACCCCAGGUGGGCCGUGUGGGCAGCUGGGGUCAGGACACCCAGAUGCCAGCCCUGGCUCUGGCCAUGGAGCGGGGAGGACCUCAGGCUGGUCGCCUCCCAGCUUGGCCUGACAACUGGACAGUUUGCUCAUUUCAACACAACCUUUCCCCCUCCCGGCCCACCAGAGGGCUCUGCCCAAGUCAGCCUAGGAGCCUCUCCGAGGGGCGGGGGCUCCAGGUCCCGGCAGAGGCAGGCCCGCCCCUCAGAAGCCCUGCCCCAGAGCGCUGGAGACCAUUGUGUGAGCUUCCCCUUCGCCUGCUGUAUUUACUCCCGCGGACGCAGGACGCAGAGCCCCAGCACCGGCAGUCACGAGGACGCAGGAAAGCGCACGCACUCACAGGCUCAGAGACGCGGACGCCAGACCCAGGCUUGGACAGAGCAGCCCCGCAAGUCCCAACACACUUUGUAAACCCCAAAGACAGGAGAGAGCCAAAAUGCUCUCCCUGCCCGCACGCAGGCCCCUUCUGUCCCCCACGGCCCGAUUCUGGGAGGCGGAUGAGGAUGUCCCCAGGCCUGGAUGGGGGCCAUGGGACAUCUCACUCUGGACCCUGCCACGACCUGGGCUGUGUCCGUUCGGUGCAGCCCACGGGCUACACAACUUGGCGGCCCCGAAACUGGCGUGGGGGAGGGGAGGGCUGUCCACCCGAGCAGGACGCGGCUGUCCACUCGGUCGGAGAUGAGGAACGACCUCCCUACCCCGUUGCCGGGUGCAAGCGGGGCCCAAGAGCCGCCGGGGAGAGCCAAAGGGAGGACCGAUGGAUUUCCCAGAGUGAAACUGUGCAUCCUGGAGAGUUCCGAGGCAGCCCCGCGAGCCCUCGAGGAGGUCGCUGUCGCUCGGCAAACAAAAACAACAAUAAAAGGAAGGAAACCCA
rnacentral:antisense_RNA from 1 species